AAGCGAGCAACCUGACUCACUGACGAAGCUGGAUUAGGAAUAUAUUCCCGAGGCAGCAAUCAGUGAGUGCAAAUGGCUGGGACGAAUGGAGAGUGUUGCUCAUUCACCCCGCAGAGCGGCUGGACAGAGCGAGCCCCAUCACUGCCCAUCCUGAUGGGGUCACAGGAUAAACCCUCGUAGCAUCAUACCCGGUUGUGCAGGGGACACAACAGCAGUGCAGACCGACCCCCUGCCUCACUCAUUCCACACCCGGUGCAUUCGCGCUCCCACCCGCGUCACCGCUUUUCCACCCAGCAACGCGGCGACGUCACAGCCGUGAACCAAUGGGGAGGCGCGGGGCGGGGCCCGUGGGGAGCGUUGCGGCUUUAGCGCUGCCGCGCGUGGGCGAUGGGGGUUUGUGUCCCCCGUGCUUCGCUGCCCAGCGCUUUGUUCCGCCGUUCCGUGUGCAUCGUUUGUGCUCUGUCCGUGUCGCUCCUGUGCUACUGACGGCGAGUGUUGAAAUAAUGGUUAGCGCAGCCAAAAUAGCUCCGCUUUGUGUAUCUGUAUUUCCAUUGCGAAGCGUGAACUUCACCCUGGGUCCCAUGCCGAAGGAGUGA
rnacentral:lncRNA from 1 species